CCCUGUCACCAGAAACACAAAGGGUCCUUCUCACUCAUGCGUUGGAGGAGCUGCAUGCGCGGGGCAUUCGGGUGCUAUGUGUAACAAUGGAUGGGCAUGCCUCCAACAUCAGCAUGUGCAACCAACUUGGAUGUAAGCUCAAGGGAAACCCACGAGAGCCCCUUAAAACAAGUUUUCCACAUCCGGCAUCUGGUGAGAAAGUAUUUGUAAUGAUGGACGCAUGCCAUAUGCUGAAGUUGGCACGUAAUAUGUUGCAGGCGUAUAGCCCAAUAACAACAACCACCGGUCAGAUCGAUUGGAGGCACAUCAAUCAUCUCAAUAAUGUGCAAAAAAAAGAUGGACUGCAUGCUGCCAACAAAAUUACAGACAAGCAUGUGUACUUUGAGAACCACAAAAUGAGGGUGUCCCUGGCUGCACAAACACUGAGUCGCUCUGUGUCGGUGACCCUCCGCACUAUGAGGGAUCUUGGGUACACACAGUUUAAAAAUUGUGAGGCAACAGCAGAAUUUAUUGAGGUAAUGUAAUUAUUACAGAACCAAUUAAUUUUUUUUUAAAACUAAUUCAUUAACAUUAGAAUUGAUCAUUAGGGACAGGUAUUUAAUCUGAAUGUCUAUGAAUUCAUCAUUCAAUUAUUGUUGUAGGCUGUGAUAUUGUAUAUUCUUUAUAAAUUCAAAAGUUUGUAUUAACAUUAUAUAUAUAUUUAUAGAUAAUUGACAGGCUGUUUGACACAAUGAAUGGACGCAAUCCUCGUGCUAAAGGAUUCAAAGCUCCAUUGGGUGCUUGGAAUUGGAUGCAGAGGAAAGCAUUUCUGUCAAGAAGCAGGGAGUACUUGCUCACUUUAGUGACAAAAGGCGGAACACCCCUUCACCAAUCAAAGAGGUCUAUUAAAAUAACGCAUGAGUAGUUCUUGAAUUCAAUUUUGGCGAUGCUCAGUUCCUUUAUCCAUCGAGUUUCUAAGAUGGCCUGUUCACUGCAUGAAGUUCAUAUGAUGUUAAUGUUUGUAUUCAGUCAAACACACUGUUCAGUUUUGUUUGUCAUAAUUGUCUUCUCUUUAGCGUCUUGUUUCAGGUCCCAGGUUUUUCUAAAAGGUAUGUAUUACACAACAGAAAGUUAUUUACAGGUGUCAGAAAGAUGGUAUGUACAGUUUAUUUAUAUGAUUGUGUUUAAAUGUGGUCCUGUAAAUAGUAUUUGGUGGUGAUCAGUGGGGCCGUUGGCACAGAACGGCAGCCAUGCUUCUGUCAGACUGACCACCUUGCGGUAUGGAGAGGGUAAAACUAACGUAAUUGUAAAGUGUAUUAGAGUGUUGAGAAAAAUGUAUUAUACUUUAUAUGAUAUUCAGUUCAAUCAAUUGUUUUAUUUUGCAAUAUUGUAAGUUCUUCUGUUUCUAUUGUCCUGUAUUCAGUGUAUUUCAGGUGCCAAGUUCUUCUAAAAGGUAUGUAUAGUAUUACACAAUAUAAACUACAGGUAAGUUUCAAACUGUUAUGUAUUACAUCAGUUGUUGUUCCAGUUCUUCCAGUUCCACUCUUGCAUUUUUUUUUACUUAUUCAAGGGUUGGGGUGUCCUAUGUUGCCAUGAUCAGAGUAAAAAAAACUUUUUGCCUUUCUCAGGUAUUUGUCUGUCAUUGGCUUUGUCAUCAACAUCGACACAUUGAUGCUAAUGGUUCCGGAACUGCUCCAAAUUCAGCAGUACGUCCUCACAUACCGGUUCAGCCAAGAUCAUUUGGAGUUCCUAUUUAAUUCAGUCAGAGCAUCAGGUGGCUGGAAUAACAAUCCCUCUGCAAACCAGUUCCAGUCCAUCUUCCGCCGUCUGAUGGUUCGGUGUGGUGUCUCACCUAGUGACACAGGAAAUGUGGCACCCCAAGAUAACACUGUGUCCCUGUCUGCUGUGGAGAUGUCCUCUGCUGAAACUGCCGAGGAUCACCCAUCUCCAUUUGUCAACAUUUUGGCUGUUGUGUGUGACCACAGCUAUCUUCCAACUAAGUUUGGUGGUCUAGUGGAAAAUGCUCUGGUGUACAUAGCAGGAUUUGUAGUCCGCCAGAUUCUGCGACAACUAGGCUGUGAUGUGUGUCGGGCAAGUUUGAUCAGAGAAGCUGUACCCUCAUCAGCUGAUGAGAGCUACCACCUGCUUACUCUGAAAAACAAUGGUGGCCUAGUGAUUCCCUCAAUAGGAACAGUGAAAGUGCUGAGGGCUGCAGAGAGGGUGAUUCGCAGAGCUUCAACAAAGCAACCUCCAAAGGUGUCGACUGUCACCCACAUUGUCCGUGAAGAGAUUGGGACAGAGGAUGUGUUCUUGCUUGGGCAACACAUUGAGGACACGCAAUUUGGCAUUGACAACCAUCAUUCCAACUUGUUGUCAUUGGUUGUGUCUGUAUUUAUGAAGAUAAGGCUGCACCACAUUGCCAAAGUCACCACUCAUGAACUCCAGAAGGGGAACACAAGAAAAAAGCUCAGCAAAACAGUCCUUUUUCAGGGCUAUUAGCUAAUAUUACAGAUAUACAUAUAUACAUAUAUAUAUAUAUAUAUAUAUAUAUAUAUAUAUAUAUAUAUAUAUAUAUAUAUAUAUAUAUAUAUA